ensembl:lncRNA TSPOAP1-AS1 TSPOAP1, SUPT4H1 and RNF43 antisense RNA 1
UGCAGAGAAGGCAGGGUGGCUAGGAAUGGCUCUAGUAGAAUUCUCCCCUUAUCUUGUCUGGAAACAAGGGGCAAAGAGCUAUCUAUUUCCUCCUGCCAGCCUCCUGCCCCCAACAGGAUUCCUCACAUCCCAGGACCAGCUGGAAAAGGUGGUGAGAGUUGGAAAGAGACUGCUCAGUGAGGACUGCCCUGCGAACCAGCUUGGAUUCAUCCCGUUCACCUCCACGUUCUGCACUCGGGGCCGAGGGAAGGGAGGCAGCCCAGGCAGCUAGAGAACUUGAUGAAACACACUCAAUCUGAAUCUCGCUUGAUCGUCAUGCUGACCCAGUGAGGGUCAGGCAUCCUUUCCGACUACUCACUCAGCAGCGGAUCCCCACCCGCCUCUGACUCCCAGUGUCUUUCGGCUCCAACGUAAGUUCACCGAACGUCUAAGAGCUGAGGAUUCAAAGGCAUGUAAGACCGCCCCUGCCCUCAGCUGCAAGACCUGUCCGCGAUCCUACGAGCCCCAUUCCGCCCUCUUUCCCCGACCUUGGUCCCCCAUGGGCCCUACAACCAGGUCCCCGACUGACACCUUGACCAGCGAACACAGCAAACAGGCCCGCAGAUGCCGCAGGUCCUUCGGCACCGUCUCCAGGGCCAUCUUCGCCGAUGGGAAGAACAACAGGGAGAUAGACGACCACAGCCUGUGCACCCGCAGGAAGUAAAUAGCUCGUUACCCAGAAUGCCCACCACUUCCGGCGCUUAGACUUCCUCUUCCGGUGUGGGCGGACGCCAGCUCCGCCCCUACCCCCGCCAGAGGAGAUGGUUUCUCCCGCCAGCAGGCGGGGAGGCUGGGCGGCCGGCCGCCACCUGGGCCGGAGCGCGUCGCAGCCACCUGAGCCCGCCGAGGGCGCGGCGGAGGCUGUGUGGGGUAGUCAGCGGGCCCCCGGGGCGGGGGGGCGGCUGCGCUUGCGCGGGAGUGUGUCGGGCUGAGCCGCAGCGCCGAGACGCGGGCUGUUUGAUCUGGGCUGGUGGCCCUGGGCGUCGGUCCUGUUCCCCGAUGGUAACCCGAAGUUUGUUUUUUUUUGUUUUGUCUCCCCGUUUUAGAAGCAUUGGGGGCAGUGAAUCCACUGUCUCCCUCUGGAUUGUCUCUGCAGAGACCGAGAAGAAAUCCAGGGACAGCCCCACCCCUCCUUCCUAACUGCGAGAGCGCUAUAGGGUUUCCACUUGCUUCCCACAGGAAUGCUGGCCUGGGAGCUACGGCGGAAAAAAAUGCGUAUUUAUCUUUUAAAACUCCGUCUGUUUGCUCGUUCCGGCUGAUAAUUUAUACUUUGCGCAGUUCUUAGCGCUUAGACACGGUUCCUUUACUAAAGACCAUUUGUAGGAGAUUAGGUGUCCUUUUUUUCCCUUUCAUUUCACCGUCUAGGAAGCGAAAUGCCUUGUUCUAUAGGCACUAAACCACCACCCCUACCAAACCUUUCUCGGGGAAGCAGAAGGGGAACUUGUGCCUUGUGAGGAAGCGACAAAGGCCCCUUCUGGCCCUGGAGACUUCACGCCAAUGGAGCACCAGCUCUCUGUCCUCGCAAUAGCCCGAGUGCAGGCAGAACGCAGUCAUUUGUGUUUAUCUGAGAGGAGCUUUGGGAUAUAAAUAGUUUCAGGCCCCGCUGCGCUGUCAUUCCAGCCCAGCCUCCUGAUUGAGCUGCUUCCGGGCGGGCUUUCUUCUUGUUGGCGGUCCCAUGCUGUGUUCAGAUGGGCUCUGUGACAGGUUUGGAUGUUUUCUAUCACUGAAUAAAACUUUCCACUUUGGAACAUA